AUUCCAGCUCCAAUAGCGUAUACUAAAGUUGUUGCAGUUAAAAAGCUCGUAGUUGAAUUUCUGGUCUUGGACAGCGGUCUGCCUCAAACGAGGUACGCACCAUCUAUCCGAGUCCAUCCUCGGGGAAAACAUGUCUGUGAUUCAGUUCAUGGGCAUGGGAUCCUCGUCAUUUACUGUGAGCAAAAUAGAGUGUUCAAAGCAGGCUUAUGCCGUUGAAUAUUUUAGCAUGGAAUAAUAAGAUAAGACCUUGGUCUAUUUUGUUGGUUUGUACUCCAAGGUAAUGAUUAAUAGGGACAGUUGGGGGUAUUCGUAUUCAAUUGUCAGAGGUGAAAUUCUUGGAUUUAUUGAAGACGAACUACUGCGAAAGCAUUUACCAAGGAUGUUUUCAUUG
rnacentral:rRNA from 1 species